rnacentral:rRNA from 1 species
UACGAAGGGGGCAAGCGUUGUUCGGAAUUACUGGGCGUAAAGGGCGCGUAGGCGGCGCAACAAGUCACUUGUGAAAUCUCCGGGCUUAACUCGGAGCGGCCAAGUGAUACUGUCGUGCUAGAGUGCGGAAGGGGCUACUGGAAUUCUCGGUGUAGCGGUGAAAUGCGUAGAUAUCGAGAGGAACACCUGCGGCGAAGGCGGGUAGCUGGGCCGACACUGACGCUGAGGCGCGAAAGCUAGGGGAGCGAACGGG